AGAAAUUUAGGGAGUAAUAGAACCAGGAGCCUUCAAAGCCUUAGGAAAGUACAUAUGACCCCUUCUAAUUUCUG
rnacentral:tRNA from 1 species